UGCAUGUGUAAGUAUAAAUAAUUUUACUUUGAAACUGCGAAUGGCUCAUUAUAUCAGUUAUAGUUUAUUAGAAAUAUUUUACUACUUGGAUAACCGUAGUAAUUCUAGGGCUAAUACAUGAGUAAAACCUCAACUUCGGAAGAGGUGUGUUUAUUAGUAUGAAAACCAUAUAUCUUCGGAUAUAAUAGUGAGUAAUAAUAACCUUUCAUAUCGUAUGUCGUUAGAUAACGAUAGUUCUUUCAAGUUUCUGCCCUAUCAGCUUUCGAUGGUAGUAUAUGGGACUACCAUGGCAGUAACGGGUAACGAAGAAUUUGGGUUCGAUUUCGGAGAGGGAGCCUGAGAGAUGGCUACCACAUCCAAGGAAGGCAGCAGGCGCGUAAAUUACCCAAUCCUGACAUAGGGAGGUAGUGACAAUAAAUCACAAUGCGGAACUUCUGUUUUGCAAUUGGAUUGAGAACAACGCACAACACUUAUCGAUAAACAAUUGGAGGGCAAGUCUGGUGCCAGCAGCCGCGGUAAUUCCAGCUCCAAUAGCGUAUAU
rnacentral:rRNA from 1 species